CCAUGAGCGCCAUGUUGGAGCAACAGGAGCAUGGCAACGAAGCUUCCAUAGGAUGUCUGAAGCUGCUUAGCGCACUGAACGUUAAGCCCACUCCUCACCAGCGGGUGAUAGGAGUCUCAUGUACGUGCAGGGGCACCUCAACAACAAGGUCGUCCACAUAAUGAUUGAUACGGGCGCCACUCACAACUUCAUGACUCCAACCGAGGCGGAACGGUUGGGUCUCAAGGUGACAUACUCCAAGGGUUGGCUCAAGACCGNNNN
rnacentral:lncRNA from 1 species